AUUGAACGCUGGCGGCAGGCCUAACACAUGCAAGUCGAACGAGUGGCGGACGGGUGAGUAAUGUCUGGGAAACUGCCCGAUGGAGGGGGAUAACUACUGGAAACGGUAGCUAAUACCGCAUACCAUCGAAUGUGCCCAGAUUGGCUUAGCUAGUAGGGGGGGUAACGGCUAACAUAGGCGACGAUCCCUAGCUGGUCUGAGAGGCUGACCGGCCACACUGGACCUGAGCCACGGUCCAGACUCCGACGGGAGGCAGCAGUGGGUAAUAUUGCACAAUGGGCGCAAGCCUGAUGCAGCCAUGCCGCGUGUAUGAAGAAGGCCUUCGGGUUGUAAAGUACUUUCAGCGAGGAGGCGUUACUCGCAGAAGAAGCACCGGCUAACUCCGUGCCAGCAGCCGCGGUAAUUC
rnacentral:rRNA from 1 species